rnacentral:rRNA from 1 species
CGGGUGCACUGAUCCAGCCGGGCCUUUCCCUCUGUGGAACCCCAUGGCCUUCACUGGCUGUGGUGGGGAAACAGGACUUUUACUUUGAAAAAAUUAGAGUGCUCCAGGCAGGCCUAUGCUCGAAUACAUUAGCAUGGAAUAAUAGAAUAGGACGUGUGGUUCUAUUUUGUUGGUUUCUAGGACCGCCGUAAUGAUUAAUAGGGACAGUCGGGGGCAUCAGUAUUCAAUUGUCAGAGGUGAAAUUCUUGGAUCUAUUGAAGACUAACUACUGCGAAAGCAUUUGCCAAGGAUGUUUUCAUUGAUAAGGAACGAAAGUUAGGGGAUCGAAGACGAUCAGAUACCGUCGUAGUCUUAACUAUAAACUAUGCCGACUAGGGAUCGGACGAUGUUAUUCUUUGACGCGUUCGGCACCUUUCGAGAAAUCAAAGUGCUUGGGCUCCAGGGGGAGUAUGGUCGCAAGGCUGAAACUUAAAGAAAUUGACGGAAGGGCACCACCAGGGGUGGAACCUGCGGCUUAAUUUGACUCAACACGGGGAAACUCACCAGGUCCAGACACAGUGAGGAUUGACAGAUUGAGAGCUCUUUCUUGAUUCUGUGGGUGGUGGUGCAUGGCCGUUCUUAGUUGGUGGAGUGAUUUGUCUGCUUAAUUGCGAUAACGAACGUGACCUUAACCUGCUAAAUAGCCCGUACUGCUUUGGCAGUUCGCCGGCUUCUUAGAGGGACUAUCGG